rnacentral:rRNA from 1 species
CCUACGGCGGGCAGCAGUGGGGAAUAUUGGACAAUGGGCGAAAGCCUGAUCCAGCCAUGCCGCGUGUGUGAAGAAGGCCUUCGGGUUGUAAAGCACUUUCAGUGGGGAAGAAAGCCUUGGGGCUAAUACCCUCGAGGAAGGACAUCACCCACAGAAGAAGCACCGGCUAACUCCGUGCCAGCAGCCGCGGUAAUACGGAGGGUGCGAGCGUUAAUCGGAAUUACUGGGCGUAAAGCGCGCGUAGGCGGUCUGAUAAGCCGGUUGUGAAAGCCCCGGGCUCAACCUGGGAACGGCAUCCGGAACUGUCAGGCUAGAGUGCAGGAGAGGAAGGUAGAAUUCUCGGUGUAGCGGUGAAAUGCGUAGAGAUCGGGAGGAAUACCAGUGGCGAAGGCGGCCUUCUGGACUGACACUGACGCUGAGGUGCGAAAGCGUGGGUAGCAAACAGGAUUAGAUACCCUAGUAGUC